rnacentral:rRNA from 1 species
UAAUACGGAGGGUGCGAGCGUUGUCCGGAAUCACUGGGCGUAAAGGGCGCGUAGGCGGCGCGGGAAGUCCGUGGUGAAAGCCCGAGGCUCAACUUCGGGUCGGCCAUGGAUACUCCUGGGCUCGAGCACUGUAGAGGCAGGUGGAAUUCCGGGUGUAGCGGUGGAAUGCGUAGAGAUCCGGAAGAACACCGGUGGCGAAGGCGGCCUGCUGGGCAGUAGCUGACGCUGAGGCGCGACAGCGUGGGGAGCAAACAGGAUUAGAUACCCUGGUAGUCCACGCCGUAAACGAUGGGCACUAGGUGCUUGGGGGAGCGACCCUCUGAGUGCCGGCGCUAACGCAUUAAGUGCCCCGCCUGGGGAGUACGGCCGCAAGGCUG